GCAACCAUGGCGGAAUAGGUAGACGCGUACGUUUGAGGGGCGUAUAGGUAACCCCUGUGAGAGUUCGAUUCUCUCUGGUUGCACCA
rnacentral:tRNA from 1 species